rnacentral:lncRNA from 1 species
GGAUGCAGCGGGUCGCCUGUGAUGUGGGACAGGGAAUGUGAGGUUUGGGGACAAAAGUGUGACCACCUCCGCUCGAUCUAAAACGAGGCAGACUCUUCCUUGACUCGCGCGACAGCCCCACCCGUCUGGCCCGUUUGAGGAGGGGGAGGCCAAGGGGAAAAGUUCUGCAGGCUCGGAGGAAGCCAGCAGCGAAAGCGUCUGGGAUGACAGCGGCGCGGCCGUUCUGCGCGCGUUCUAGAGUUCCUGAGGCCCGGUCCCCCGCGUCCAAAGGACCCCUACCUGCGCGGCUCUGAGGCGGCGCCCACAGCAGCAGCAGGAGCAGGAGCAGCGGCGGGGACAGCAGCGGGGCGCCCGGGAGCGCAUCUUUCCAGCGGGUGCCCGGACCUGGACUGACUCCAAGAACCAGCGAUGAGCCCCCCUCCCUCCCCUCGAAGUUUGAUCGUUUGAGUUCAAAAGAGAGAGACAGAGAGAUUGUUCUACCACGCCGGACUUUCUCUUUAAGGAGGAGUUCCGAGAGCUCCUCUUCGGGGCGGGGACUCAACUUGCGACUCAGCCAGAAGGGGCUCCCUAGAUUUUGACUGACAGGUCAACCUAGCGUUAGGGACCGGCUUUCCACCUCUCCCCAACUAGAUUGUCAAGGAUGCCCAGAGAGGCCUCAAGUGGACUUGGGGAGACCAAAUUAUUAGUCAGACGAAGUGAAAGUUUCCCUCUGGCACUCCAUGAGGCUCUGCCACACCCCUUUGAUCUGGAGCGGCCCCGCCCCCACCUACAAGAAGAUCAGCCUCUCCUCAUGGACAAGGAGUGCUGGCACAGGUCAGCAACAUGGUUACCAGCAAGCAGUGUGACCUUCCCAGUUCCAUCUUGGGGAAUGCCUCAUUUCUCCCCAGGCACACAUAAGCUUGUCUUCUGACAGUCUAGAAGCUGGUCCCUGAGGAUCCAAGUUAAGUGUGUAUCCCAAGGUCCUGGAAUGGCCAUUAGGAGCCAUGGGAAGCUUGGGCUUGUGGCUCAUGACAAAGACAUGUUGUGCUGGAUAAUUUUUAUGUCAACUUGACACAAGCUGGAAUUAUCUGAAAAGAGACAAUCUCAUGAGAAUGCUUCCAUAAGAUCCAGCUGUAAGGCAUUUUCUCAAUUAGUGAUUGAUGGGAGAAAGCCCAGCCCAUUGUGGGGGGUGCCAUCCCUGGGCUGGUGGUCCAGGCUGGUUUCUAUAAGAAAGCAGGCUGAGCAAGCCAUGAGGAGCAAGCCAGGAAGCAGCACCCCUCCAUGGCCUCUGGAUCAGCUCCUGCUUCCAGGUUCCUGCCCUGCUUGAGUUCCUGUCCUGACUCCUUUGGUGAUAAACAGCACUGUGGAACUAUAAGCCAAAUAAAUCUUCUCCUCCCCAAGUUGCUUUGGUCAUGGCAUUUUGAUGAAGCAAUGGA